rnacentral:ncRNA from 1 species
AAAAUCGUGUGGAAGAGGAAGAGUAUCCGGAUUCGUGCCGGCGCAGAGAGGCUCCGGCUGGUGAGAGGAGCAGCGGUACCCCGGAGAAUACCCCUCGGAGCGGAUUCCCUGAACGGACUGGACAGUAGGGGAAUACGGGUGCGCCCGUUACAGCGUCAACGAGGCCGGGUGCAGUGCGUUUGCAGUCCGGCAAACUGAGGUGGUACCACGUUUCACAGCGUCCUCAGG